GCCUGAGUGGCCGAGUGGUUCUAGGCGCUACAGUCUCGAACGCUGCGGUCGCAGGUUCGAAUCCUGCCUCGGGCA